rnacentral:rRNA from 1 species
UCUGUGAUGCCCUUAGAUGUUCUGGGGCAACUCUGUUCUCCAGGGGGGGCUGCUCAAUACUUCAGAUCCUGGUCCGAAAGGACUGGGGAAACUGCCAAGACUCGUCGUGAUGGGGAUAGACUAUUGUAAUUAUUAGUCUUCAACGAGGAAUUCCUAGUAAGCGCGAGUCAUCAGCUCGCGUUGAUUACGUCCCUGCCCUUUGUACACACCGC